AGCCCAUGCAUGUCUAAGUAUAAGCAAUUAUACAGCGAAACUGCGAAUGGCUCAUUAAAUCAGUUAUCGUUUAUUUGAUAGUACCUUACUACAUGGAUAACCGUGGUAAUUCUAGAGCUAAUACAUGCUAAAAACCCCAACUUCGGAAGGGGUGUAUUUAUUAGAUUAAAAACCAAUGCCCUUCGGGGCUCCCUGGUGAUUCAUGAUAACUUCUCGAAUCGCACGGCCUUGCGCCGGCGAUGGUUCAUUCAAAUUUCUGCCCUAUCAACUUUCGACGGCUGGGUCUUGGCCAGCCGUGGUGACAACGGGUAACGGAGGGUUAGGGCUCGACCCCGGAGAAAACGCCUGAGAAACGGCGUUUACAUCCAAGGAAGGCAGCAGGCGCGCAAAUUACCCAAUGCCGACACGGCGAGGUAGUGACGAGAAAUACUGAUACAGGGCUCUUUUGGGUCUUGUAAUUGGAAUGAGUACAAUUUAAAUCUCUUAACGAGGAACAAUUGGAGGGCAAGUCUGGUGCCAGCAGCCGCGGUAAUUCCAGCUCCAAUAGCGUAUAUUAAAGUUGUUGCAGUUAAAAAGCUCGUAGUUGAACCUUGGGCCUGGCUGGCCGGUCCGCCUCACCGCGUGCACUGGUCCGGCCGGGCCUUUCCCUCUGGGGAACCGCAUGCCCUUCACUGGGCGUGUCGGGGAACCAGGACUUUUACUUUGAAAAAAUUAGAGUGUUCAAAGCAGGCCUAUGCUCGAAUACAUUAGCAUGGAAUAAAUAGAAUAGGACGUGUGGUUCUAUUUUGUUGGUUUUCUAGGACCGCCGUAAUGAUUAAUAGGGACAGUCGGGGGGCAUCAGUAUUCAAUUGUCAGAGGUGAAAUUCUUGGAUUUAUUGAAGACUAACU
rnacentral:rRNA from 1 species